UUUGAAGAGAGAUGGCGGGAGGGAGGGGGAACAAUGUAGAGUUUCCACCUGAACACCAGUCAUUUUACAUGCUUUGGCAUAAAAGAUGCUCGGCUGUAACAGUGAGCUAGCCCGCCAACGCCUAGCAACUCUCAGGGCUGGAGCUUAGAGCGGCUGCGGACGUUGGCGGAACCGUGUCCUAGGUGACACCGGAAGGAUGCCGCGAGCUUCUCAGGGGCUGCGACCUUCGCAAAGGCUUUUGGAACCCGGUCCGGUGUGGCUACUGAGGCUGCCGCUACUCCCUGGAGGCCGCAGGUUGUUGGCGGUCCGCGAGCAGCCGUAUGCAAGGAUGGACGCUGAAAGAUAAAGCGGAGAAAAGAUCUCGGAAGAAAGUGUUGAUGGCCGGGGUUAAGCUAGCUGGGCAGCAGGAUGCAGCCUGCCGUUCCUUCUACAUCAUGCAAGAGCCUUCAUCUAGCAACUGAUGGAAACAGAUGCAGAGAUACACAGCCACUGGCUGAGUGUUGAAGGCACCAUGUUAGCCAAGCUCCAGUUGAAGAGAGGGAGGAGCGAUAAUAUGAGCAAAGGUUCGUAGUUCAACUCUGCUCCCAUGAAUCUGAUUGGCUGAGAUUUCUACAGCGUGUGAGAAGGUAGAGAAUUGGGCCUGGGCAGGCCUGGCUGUUGUCACGCCAUACAUAUUUCAUCUGUGCUGUUGCAAAUGAAAGAAUUCACUCUCUUGGGUGUGGCAUGGUUCAUCUUGCCCACCUGUCUGAAUUAUGCUUUUCCUGGCAGAAGCCCGGGGCACCUAAUUGCAGCCCAGGACUUAGUGGUGUUUGUGACCCUGCAUGGCCCCCUCAAGAUGCCUGUUGGAGACUUGUUCUCUGGGGGCGGCGGACCUAAUGUCUGAUGGAAGGAAAAGAAGGCCAAGCGAAAGCUGGAGGAAACACUGGAGGGAGCUGGUGGCCCAAGGAAAAAUCCAGCUCUGCACUGGUAACACGGAAGCAGCAGCAGAGCCGCAGCCUCGGGAACAGCUCGUCCAGAAGCUGGUGCUGUCAGAGUUGCAAGGCGCCCGCUGAUAGCUGAAGACGCGGGACUAUGAGGUUAGCAGGCCAAGAUUGGCCUUAACCAGUGUCCUAGAAGGAGGCAGCCCACAAUUACACCAGCCUCUGGAACCUUCCCACCAGGGGACAUUUUCAUUAAUUGUAGACUUCCAUCGGCUCCCCGCCAAAUCUCUCCCCGGACAGAUGGCGAAACAAAUGAAAUUCAGCCCCAAAACACCGAUACACACAAAACAAGCAAACCAAAUCAGCAACAACAAAAGAACAAAACCCAGAACAUCCACACUGGCCUCGGUGGUCUCUUCUGCUCUGUCUAUGGAGCAGGAAGAUUCUAAGAUUGAAACCAUGCUUCAAGAACUGAGAACCUCCCCAGAAAUGCCAGCUUGGGAGUGAAAAAGGCCCCGUAGAAGAGCGCUAGUAUUUAGCACCAGGAGAAGUAUGGAUAUUUUCCUCUUCAGUCCUUGUCCUGAUGCACACCUACUCCCAUAGACUGUCUGUGUGAGGAGAUAAAGCAAACUUGGCAACACUUCCAUUCAUGUCCGAGGCUGCUUUGGGAGCCCUGUGGUGCUGUACCUGCUGUGACUUUACCAGGUAGAAGAGAGACGUGGUGCACGGGAUAGUUCUUCAGCUGUUGAGAUUCUAGUUCCCACACCACUGGUCCUCCCUGGAUUUGCCACCAUAGGGCUGGAUGUUUACAUCCUUUAGGAUGGGGAGAAAAGCAAAACUAACAGUUUUUGAGACAUCAGCUGUUCUAAUCAGAAAUAUAUUUUAGUUUAGCUAAAUUGCUAUGAAAAAUAUGAGCCCCUGAAAGAUCAAUUUGUCGUUGUGUCUAUCAAUUUGAUUUAGCAAUUCUUUACUAGGCAUUGCCGGCAUUGUUUCAAGUGUGACUCCCCUAACUCCACAGCCUUGUGUAAUUUUUCAGGCACCUUGGCGGUGACAUUCAUUUUAGAAUACUUUCUUCCACACCUCUAGAAGGUAAGGAAGUUGAAAAUGGCAGUACUGAUAGGAAACCUAAAAUCCAAUCGGAUAUCUGGCCCGUGUUCAGACUUACUUGGUUGUGUUAUUUAAAUCACAAUCCAGACAAACUUUAUACAUUGGAUUCACUUGAAGUGUGCACUGUGAGACAUUUUAUGUACAGGGAAGCUCUGGACCAGAGAAGAGCAUAUGUUCAGGCUUCAGGUAACAUUCCCUGCUGAAUCAGUUAGUCCUGUUGGGGUUCCAGAUUUUAGGAAGCCAUAGUCUUUGUCCUCAAGGACUUCUGUCUCGUGUUCCUAUAACGCUCUAUGAGAAUAUCCAUCACAAGCCUUAUGGUAUUAGUUUUUCUGCAUCUGUCGUCAUUUAAAAGCAGGGAGCAUUUCGUCUUCAACACUGCAUUUCUUAUACACAGCUCAGUUACUGGUAUGCAGUAGGAAGCAGUGUCCUUUUGUCUAACUUUGCAUUGGGAGCCAAUGAGAUUUUUAUAGCAUGGCUGUGCCAUGGUAAGGUUUUCAUUGGAGGUAGAUAAAGGUUGCUAGUUGUUUUGAAAACAUGGAUGAUUGGAAGCAGGGAGGAGUCUAUUGCAGUUCACACUAGAGAGGAUGCAGAUGAGAACUAGGGUGAAGGCAGUAGGUACGAAGAAAAGACGAGUGGAGAGUUGCAGAGAUGGCAAGUUAGCACGGUUUGGGAACCUUUCCUAUGUGGAGAAUGAGGAGCUUCAGGCUUGGGGAACAGUGAUGCCCCUUGAAGAUUCAGAGCAAAAUGGGGAGGCUGGUUUGAGGUAGGGGAGAUGGAUUCAGUUUUGACCAUGCUGAGGUUGAGGUGACUGCUAGGAAUUUGCCGUCUGUCAGGAUUUGGGAGAUCAAAACAUAAGAGAGAAGUCGGGAGUGAAAACCAGAGAGUCCUAAGUACAUAGGUGGUGCUUAAAAUUAGAUGGCAUCCUUCACGGACAGAAUAUGUAGUGAACAGGAAGGGAAGUGUUAAGAAACCCUUACAGAUUUUAGCAAGUAAUUAAAAAAUGAGAAGCUCUGGAGGAAGAUAGGAAAGGAAUAGCUACAGAGGUUAGAGGGAAACCAAGACAGUGUGUUGUCAUUGCAGCCAAAGGAGGAGAGACUUCAGGAAGGCCUGACCAGGAGCCCCUUAUACGCAGCUAGAGGGGUGUUGGUAAGGAAGAGUUCCAUGUGGCUGAGAUGUACAGUGUUUUGGCAGGAGGUGAGCCCAGAAAGACUAGUUAGGUCCUUGUACUGUCUGGUUUCGUGUGUCAACUUGACAUAAUCUAGAGUCAUCAGAGAGGAAGGUGCCUUACUUGAGGAAAUGCCUCGGUGAGAUCCAGUUGUGAGGCAUUUUCUCAAUUAGUGAUCAAUAGGGGAGGGCCCAGCCUGUGAUAGGUGCUGCCAUUCCUGGACUGGGUUCUGUAAGAAAGUAGGCCGAGCAAACCCUGUGAAUCAAGCCAAUAAACAGCUCCCUCCAUGACCUCUGCAUCAGCUCCUGCCUCUGGGUUCCUCCCCUGCUUGAGUUCCUGUCCUGACUUCUUUUGAUUAUGAACGGAAAUGUAGAAGUCUAAGUCAAAUAAAACCUUUCAUCCCCAA